rnacentral:rRNA from 1 species
AGAGUUUGAUCCUGGCUCAGAACAAACGCUGGCGGCGUGUCUUAAGCAUGCAAGUUGAGCGGCAAGGGGGAGCGAUCCCUCCUAGAGCAGCGGACUGGUGAGUAACGCGUGGGUAAUCUGCCUUGGGCAUGGGGAUAGCCAUUAGAAAUAGUGGGUAAUACCGAAUACGUUCCACGGGGGGAGUGCUUGUGGAAGAAAGGGUGCUAGGGCACUGGCCUGAGAUGAGCUCGCGUCCCAUUAGCUAGUUGGUGAGGUAAAGGCCCACCAAGGCGAUGAUGGGUAGCCGGCCUGAGAGGGUGUACGGCCACACUGGGACUGAGAUACGGCCCAGACUCCUACGGGAGGCAGCAGCUAAGAAUAUUCCGCAAUGGACGGAAGUCUGACGGAGCGACGCCGCGUGGAUGACGAAGGCCGAAAGGUUGUAAAGUUCUUUUGCUGGGGAAGAAUAACCGCAGGAGGGAAUGCCUGUGGGAUGACAAGAACCGGCGAAUAAGCCCCGGCCAACUACGUGCCAGCAGCCGCGGUAACACGUAGGGGGCGAGCGUUGAUCGGAAUUACUGGGCGUAAAGGGCAUGUAGGCGGCUUGGAAAGCCUGGCGUGAAAGUCUGCAGCUUAACUGCAGGGGUGCGCUGGGAACUGCUGAGCUUGAGUGACGGAGAGUGAGCUGGAAUUCCUGGUGUAGGGGUGAAAUCUGUAGAUAUCAGGAAGAACACCGAUGGCGAAGGCAAGCUCCUGGCCGAUGACUGACGCUGAGGUGCGAAAGUGUGGGGAUCAAAAGGGAUUAGAUACCCUGGUAGUCCACCCAGUCAACCCUGACAGGAGGUGGCUGGGGCGGUAGCUUUCGGUGGCCGGAGCGAAACGUGGUAAGUGCCCCGCCUGGGGGGUAGCUUCGCAAGGGGGAAACUCAAAGGAAUUGAGGGGGGCCCGCACAAGCGGUGGGGCAUGUGGUUUAAUUCGAUGGUACGCGAGGAACCUUACCUGGGUUUGACAUACGGAGGGAGGUGGCAGCGAUGUCGCCGUGUCGCAAGACGACUCCGUACAGGUGCUGCAUGGCUGUCGUCAGCUCGUGCCGUGAGGUGUUGGGUUAAGUCCCGCGACGAGCGCAACCCCUACUGCCAGUUACUAACAGGUGAAGCUGAGGACUCUGGCGGAACUGCCGGUGACAAACCGGAGGAAGGUGGGGAUGACGUCAAGUCAUCAUGGCCCUUAUGUCCAGGGCUACACACGUGCUACAAUGGGCGCGACAGAGUGAGGCGAAGCCGCGAGGUGGAGCAAAUCGCAGAAAAACGUCCUCAGUUCGGAUUGGAGUCUGAGACCCGACUCCAUGAGGGUGGAAUCGCUAGUAAUCGCGCAUCAGCAUGGCGCGGUGAAUACGUUCCCGGGCCUUGCACACACCGCCCGUCA